AGUGAACGCUGGCGGUAGGCCUAACACAUGCAAGUCGAACGGCAGCACAGUAAGAGCUUGCUCUUACGGGUGGCGAGUGGCGGACGGGUGAAGAAUACAUCGGAAUCUACUUUUUCGUGGGGGAUAACGUAGGGAAACUUACGCUAAUACCGCAUACGACCUACGGGUGAAAGCAGGGGGUCUUCGGACCUUGCGCGAUUGAAUGAGCCGAUGUCGGAUUAGCUAGUUGGCGGGGUAAAGGCCCACCAAGGCGACGAUCCGUAGCUGGUCUGAGAGGAUGAUCAGCCGCACUGGAACUGAGACACGGUCCAGACUCCUACGGGAGGCAGCAGUGGGGAAUAUUGGACAAUGGGCGCAAGCCUGAUCCAGCCAUACCGCGUGGGUGAAGAAGGCCUUCGGGUUGUAAAGCCCUUUUGUUGGGAAAGAAAAGCAGCAGGUUAAUACCCCGCUGUUCUGACGGUACCCAAAGAAUAAGCACCGGCUAACUUCGUG
rnacentral:rRNA from 1 species